rnacentral:rRNA from 1 species
UACAGAGGUCCCGAGCGUUGUUCGGAUUCACUGGGCGUAAAGGGUGCGUAGGUGGUGAGGUAAGUCGGAUGUGAAAUCUCCGGGCUCAACCCGGAAAUGGCAUUGGAAACUACCUUGCUGGAGGAUUUGAGGGGGGAUUGGAAUACUUGGUGUAGCAGUGAAAUGCGUAGAUAUCAAGUGGAACACCAGUGGCGAAGGCAGCUCGCUGGGACGGUACUGAGCUGAGGCGCGAAAGCGUGGGGAGCAAACAGG